rnacentral:rRNA from 1 species
GACGAACGCUGGCGGCGUGCUUAACACAUGCAAGUCGAGCGGAAAGGCCCUUCGGGGUACUCGAGCGGCGAACGGGUGAGUAACACGUGAGUAACCUGCCCCAGACUUUGGGAUAACCCUCGGAAACGGGGGCUAAUACCGAAUAUUACAUUUCACCGCAUGGUGGUUUGUGGAAAGUUUUUCGGUUUGGGAUGGACUCGCGGCCUAUCAGCUUGUUGGUGGGUAAUGGCCUACCAAGGCGAGGACGGGUAGCCGGCCUGAGAGGGCGACCGGCCACACUGGGACUGAGACACGGCCCAGACUCCUACGGGAGGCAGCAGUGGGGAAUAUUGCACAAUGGGCGGAAGCCUGAUGCAGCGACGCCGCGUGAGGGAUGACGGCCUUC